AGGUGAGCGCUGCUGAAAGAAAGACGGGUUAGAGAGACCCGUUGCCCAAGCAUGGAUAUUUAUUUGCGGUGUGUUUAUAUAUUUCAUUUAAUUAGCAUCUAUGUGCCAAAGUUAUGGGUACUCAUAGUUUUUGGGCUUCGAGAAUGUCCCGAGCCUCGGGGCGCAGAUAGCGUUUGUACGCAGCUGACGACUAUUGGCCCAUGGCUUUGAGGGUCGACACAGGAGCCGUCAUAGCUGCGGUUGUAGCUGCACCUAUGUGAAAGGAAUGAGCAGUGUAGCGAUCUGAAGGAUGUGUGGAGGGCAAUCAGCUAAGCUGUCAUCUGACUGAGGGCUAGCUUAAGAUCAGCUGGCUUUAACCUUUAGCUUGACUGUACCUUGUGUCCUGCCUGAACUACAGCCAUGCUUAAUUUCAGUCAGGACUACUUUAGUUAGAAUCAAUUAUUUAUUACUAGCAAAAAUUUUUUUUAACAUUGUCGGUACGGCUCUGUUCUGAGAGUUCUCUGCUCUGUCAUGUGCUUGCAUAGAAUCCCAAGGCAAUGAGAGGGAAUGCCCUCCCCUCCCUUUCAUGUGCAUAUAUGAAAAGCCAAGGCAGAAAAAGCAGCAGCCAUACUGGCAACCCUCCCCAGCUUUCAUGAGCUACAUGAAGGCACCUACGGGGGAGGGAGGGCAGCCAGCAGCGAGAAACUAUGAAGCAACCUACCCACCUACAAAGCUUGCAUAGUAUUGGUUACCCUCACAACAUGAUCAUGGAUCAGGCUUAAUUUAAUCCAUACACAAAUUUAUAGUUGGGAAUAUGCGUAAUGCAAUAGAUAUGGGAAAGAAUUAAGGAGCAGCAGCAAUUUUUUUUUGUAGCUAAUCGAGCAUAGGAAUAUUCUAAUAAUAAUAAUAUAUCAGCCUUGGGCCUGAGGUAUCAUUCAAAGGCUGAUCGGGACCAUCGACCCAUAGCCUUGAGCGUCGAGACGGGGACGAUGGAAGAUGCAGUUGUAGCUGUGCCUAUGCGUGGCGAAUGCGUAGAGUUGUACUCAGGUAGGAGCCAGCAGAGCAGGCGGAGCAGGCAGAGGUGAGCAGAAAGCUGCAAUCUGAAUAUAGGUUUCCCUUCUUCAGUGGCAAAGAGAGACUCUUGCUGGCUGGCCAGUGGCCGGCCUCUCAGGCAGCGGGACAUGGAGGAUAAAGAACAAAGACAGAGUUAGUUUUGGAAAUAUUAGAAAGAAAAAAAAAGUGCGAGAUUCAAAACCGUGGACUAUUAAAGAACAUACAAUGGAUAUAUUUAGGGCGUUGGGGCUACAGAGAAGGUGGUACAAAAGAGGUAAAGUGAGACCAUGCAGAAUCGUAUAAACUUUAAUGCUGAUUUUGCUUAACCAGCUCUCAAGUAGCUGUCAACAGAGAGCACUAAGGAUUGCAAGGCUGCACUCAGACUAACGCAGUCUGAAUGAAUGGCUUCACGAACAGCCGUUGGGAUGCUUUGCCUGUGCCUUCCCCAGCUCAAGGACAUUUGACAGAGUAGACAGCUUUGUUCUUUCCCGUUUUACCAGGUGGGUGCGUCAUGGGCAUGCUGAUUUCAGAUGCCCAUCCUUGGAGUAACUUGGCUUCUCCGAGUAGUAGGCUUAGAGAGGCUUGGGUGGUUGGCCUGUAGCCACAGUUUGAGGGCACCGAUUAGAGGUGUGGGCAGGGGUGGACAAGGUAGGAUAAGGUUCCUCCAGGUACUGUACCCGUAGACUUUGUACAAGAGGAGCACACCCAAGUUAAGCGAGUUGCUGACUCCGAUGCCACAGUAUCAUCAUCUGCUGUAUCUCUCUCUUAAACAUAAAAUUAUUAUUAUUUUAUUUUUAUUUUUUUUUCCUCUGCAUUUUGUCUUAUUUCUGCAUUAAGUUUGAAGCAGCUGACUCUAUAAAAAUUCCCUCCUUCCGCAAAAGGCGGAAGGCAGGCCCCUGCACCUAGGCAACCAGCGUCCAAUCAAAAGUGCGCACUGGUGCUCCCACUUGGAGUUUAUUUGUAAACAAAUACCACUCACUCUCAAGCGGCAUGGUCCUAUUGUAUUACUUCGGUUAUAACGCAGAGUGCAGACUGAUGUGCAGCAAAUGACUAAGCCUAGAUACAUGACAGGGGUGACAACUUUAAACAGCUGAUUAUGUCCUCCCGAAAUGGCGUACUGCUGCGUAAUGGCUUACUUUCACCUCCAGGUGAGAGAAAGACCCGCAGAUUAAGCAGGAAAAAGCUUGAUGCUUGGUGAAUUGUUAACUGAUUAGAGCCAGGUCGACUACGGACUGAUCAAGUCUUUGGCUGAAUCUUUGAAUGUACUUAGCAGCUUUGCUGAAAAUGAUUUGUAAUGUUCCUAGAAUAAUGACCCUCCCUAUGUCAUGGCUGAAUCAGAAAUAAUGGCGAGAUUUGUGUCCAGUUCAGUUCUGCGUGCUGAAAACACUUUACAUAUGACAUCUACAAAUACUCCGAAAGCUAUGAAUUCAGCCAAGGUCGGAGAUUUAAACAGCCGGGCAUCACGAUAUUUAAGCAUCACAGGCUCAUCUCCGCAAUCCACAAUGCGUCUAUCAUUGUAGUCUGAGCACAGCAAGACUAAUGUCAGUACCAGCAAGGAUUUGGCUCCGCGGAUUAGGUGUAAUUGCAGCCGCGACCAGGUCGCGUCGCGUGGUGCUCUGGUGUGUUCACACCGGGUCCAAAGCUGCGGUCGCAGGACGCGGCUGGUCGCUGCUGACCCGCUUCUCCUACCUUCCUUCUCCCUCCUUUUCUCCCUCAUAUAUACAUCCCUCAGCCCAGUUAAAAUAUUUGAACUUUGGGAGCGACGAGACUUGGCGUCCUGCGACCUCGGCGACGCGACCUCGGCGACGCGACCUCGGCAACGCGACGCAGGUAGCUGGCAGUCGCCAAGUCGCGUCAGGUCGCGGCUGUCCAUAGACUUUGCAUUGGGAGCCGUCGCCGAAGUCGCUCUUGGUCUCAACACCUUUGAACCUGAAUUUGUGGUGUUUUUGAACUUGAGUUUGUGUGUUUGUUGAACUUAAGUUUGUGGCGUGUUUGAACUUGAGUUUGUGUUGUUUUUGAACUUGAGGUUUUGGCAAAUGUUAAACUUGAGAUUUGGGUGUUGGUUGAACUUGAGUUUGUGUCGUAUUUGAACUUGUUUUUUUUGCAAUUUUUGAACUUGAGGUUGUGGAAAUUGUUAAACUUGAGAGUUGGGUAUUGAUUGAACUUGAGUUUGUGUGUUUGUUGAACUUGAGCUUGUCUCAUGUUUGAAGUUGAGUUUCUGUUGCUUUUGAACUUGAGGUUGUGGCUAUUGUUAAACUUGAGAUUUGGGUGUUGGUUGAACUUGAGUUUGUGACAUGUUUGAACUUGAGUUUCUGGUGUUUUUGAACUUGAGUUUGUGUGUUUUUUGAACCUGAGUUUGUGUUGUUAAGAACUUGAGUUUGUGGUGUUUUUGAACUUGAGUUUGUGUGUUUGUUGAACUUGAGUUUGUGGCGUGUUUGAACUUGAGUUUCCGUUGUUUUUGAAGGUUUGUGGCAAUUGUUAAACUUGAGAUUUGGGUGUUGGUUGAACUUGGGUUUGUGGUGUUUUUGAACUUGAGUUUGUGUUGUGUUUGAACUUGAGUUUGUGGCGUUUGUUGAACUUGAGUUUCUGUUUUUGAACUUGAGGUUGUGGAAAUUGUUGAACUUGAGAUUUGGGAUUUUUUUGAACUUGAGUUUGUGUCAUGUUUGAACUUCAGUUUGGGGUGUUUUUGAACUUGAGCUUGUGUGUUUUUUUAACCUGAGUUUGUGUUGUUAAGAACUUGAGUUUGUGUUGUGAUUGAACUUGAGUUUGUGUGUUUGUUGAACUUGAGUUUGUGGCGUGUUUGAACUUGAGUUUCCGUUGUUUUUGAACUUGAGGUUGUGGCAAUUGUUAAACUUGAUAUUUGGGUGUUGGUUGAACUUCAAACUUUGACAUUUGUUGAAGUUUGUGGUGUUCGUUGAACUUCAGUUUCAGCAUUUUUUAACUUGAGUUUGUGUGUUUUUGAACUUGAGUUUGUGGCAAUUUUUUAACUUGAGUUUGUUGAACUUGAGUUUUUGGCAAUUGUGAAAUGUGAGUUUAGGUCAUUUGUUGAAAUUGAGAUUGUGGUGUUUGUUGAACUUGAGUUUGUGGCAAUUGUUGAACUUGAGUCUGUAUUUUUCACUGAACUUUAGUUUGUAGCGUUUGUUGUACUUGAGUUUGUGGCAUUUGUUGUACUUGAGUUUGUGUCUUGUUUGAACUUGAGUUUGUGUGUUUGUUGAACUUUAGGUUGUGGUGUUUUUGAACUUGGGGGUGUGUAAUUUGUUGAACUUGAGGUUGUGGCAAUUGUUAAACUUGAGUUUGUGUGUUUGUUGAACUUGAGUUUGUGGUGUUUUUGAACUUGGGGGUGUGUAAUUUGUUGAACUUGAGGUUGUGGCAAUUGUUAAACUUGAGUUUGUGUGUUUGUUGAACUUGAGUUUGUGGUGUUUUUGAACUUGGGGGUGUGUAAUUUGUUGAACUUGAGGUUGUGGCAAUUGUUAAACUUGAGUUUGUGUGUUUGUUGAACUUGAGUUUGUGGUGUUUUUGAACUUGGGGGUGUGUAAUUUGUUGACCUUGAGGUUGUGGCAAUUGUUAAACUUGAGAUUUGGGUGUUGGUUGAACUUGAGUUUGUGUGUUUUUUUUAACUAAGGUUUGUGGCAAUUGUUAAACUUGAGAUUUGGGUGUUGGUUGAACUUGGGUUUGUGGUGUUUUUGAACUUGAGUUUGUGUGUUUGUUGAACUAGAGUUUGUGGCGUGUUUUAACUUGAGUUUCUGUUGUUUUUGAACUUGAGGUUGUGGAAAUUGUUGAACUUGAGAUUUGGGAUUUUUUUGAACUUGAGUUUGUGUCAUGUUUGAACUUCAGUUUGGGGUGUUUUUGAACUUGAGCUUGUGUGUUUUUUUAACCUGAGUUUGUGUUGUUAAGAACUUGAGUUUGUGUUGUGAUUGAACUUGAGUUUGUGUGUUUGUUGAACUUGAGUUUGUGGCGUGUUUGAACUUGAGUUUCCGUUGUUUUUGAACUUGAGGUUGUGGCAAUUGUUAAACUUGAGUUUGUGUGUUUGUUGAACUUGAGUUUGUGUCGUGUUUGAACUUGAGUUUAUGUGUUUAUUGAACUUGAGGUUGUGGCAAUUUUUGAACUUGAGUUUGUUGAACUUGAGUUUUUGGCAAUUGUUAAAUGUGAGUUUAGGUCAUUUGUUGAAAUUGAGAUUGUGGUGUUUGUUGAACUUGAGUUUGUGGCAAGUGUUGAACUUGAGUCUGUAUUUUUCACUGAACUUUAGUUUGUAGCGUUUGUUGUACUUGAGUUUGUGGCAUUUGUUGUACCUGAGUUUGUGUCUUGUUUGAACUUGAGUUUGUGUGUUUUUCGAACUUUAGGUUUUGGUGUUUUUGAACUUGGGGGUGUGUAACUUGUUGAACUUGAGGUUGUGGCAAUUGUUAAACUUGAGUUUGUGUGUUUGUUGAACUUGAGUUUGUGUCGUGUUUGAACUUGAGUUUAUGUGUUUAUUGAACUUGAGGUUGUGGCAAUUUUUGAACUUGAGUUUGUUGAACUUGAGUUUUUGGCAAUUGUUAAAUGUGAGUUUAGGUCAUUUGUUGAAAUUGAGAUUGUGGUGUUUGUUGAACUUGAGUUUGUGGCAAUUGUUGAACUUGAGUCUGUAUUUUUCACUGAACUUUAGUUUGUAGUGUUUGUUGUACUUGAGUUUGUGGCAUUUGUUGUACUUGAGUUUGUGUACUUGAGAUUUGGGUGUUGGUUGAACUUGAGUUUUUGCUGUUUUUGAACUUGAGUUUUUGGGGUUUUGAACUUGAGUAAGUGUGUUUGUUGAACUUGAAUUUUUUUUUAACUUGAGUUUGUGGUGUUUUGAACCUGAGUUUGUUUAAUGUUUGAACUUGAGUUUGUGGUGUUUUGAAACUUGACUUUGUGUGUUUGUCGAACUUCAGUUUGUGUUGCAUUUGAACUUGAGUUUGUGUCGUGUUUGAACUUGAGUAUGUGAUGCUUGUUGAACUUGAGUUUAUGUCGUGUUUGCACUUGAGUUUUUAGUGUUUUUGAACUUGAUUUUGUGUUUUUCUUGAACUUGAGUUUGUGGUGUUUUUGAACUUGAGUUGGUGGUGUUUUUGAACCUGAGUUUCGUGUUUGAACUUGAGUUUGUGGUUUUUGUUGAACUUGAGUUUGUGUCGUGUUUGAACUUGAGUUUGUGGUGUUUUUGAACUUGAGUUUGUGGUAAUUUUGAAGUUGAGGGUGUGGAAUUAGUUAAACUUGAGUUUGUGUCUUGUUUGAACUCUAGUUUGUGUCGUGUUUGAACUUGAGUUUGUGUGAUUGUUGAACUUGAGGUUGUGGCAAUUGUUUAACAUGAGAUUUGGGUUGGUUGAACUUGAGUUUUUGUAGUUUUUGAACUUGACUUUUUGUGUUUGUUGAACUUUAGUUUGUGGUAUUUUAGAACUUGAGUUGGUGGUGUUUUUGAACUUGAGUUUUGUGUUUGAACUUGAGUUUGUGGUUUUUGUUGAACUUGAGUUUGUGUGAUUGUUGAACUUGAGGUUGUGGCAAUUGUUAAACUUGAGAUUUUGGUGUUGGAUAAACUUGAGUUUGUGUCAUGUUUGCACUUGAGUUUGGGGUGUUUUUGAACUUGAUUAUGUGUUUUUGUUGAACUUGAGUUUCUGUGUUUUCUGAACUUGAGUUUCUGUGUUAUUUGAACUCUAGUUUGUGUUCUGUUUGAACUUGAGUUUGUGGUGUUUGUUGAACUUGAGUUUGUGUUGUGUUUGCAUAUGAGUUUGUGGUGUUUUUGAAUUUGAUUUUGUGUGUUUGUUGAACUUGAGUUUGUGGUCCUUUUGAACUUGAAUGGGUGGUGUUUUUGAACUUUAGUUUCGUGUUUAAACUUGAGUUUGUGGUUUUUGUUGAACUUGAGAUUGUGUCGUGUUUGAACUUGAGUUUGUGGUGUUUUUGAACUUGAGUUUGUGUUUUUUUUUAAGUUGAGGGUGUGGAAUUUGUUGAACUUGAGGUUGUGGCAAUUGUUAAACUUGAGUUUGUGUUUUAGUUGAACUUGAUUUUGUGUCGUGUUUGAACUUGAGUUUUUCUGUUGAACUUAAGUUUGUGGUGUAUUUAAACUUGAUUUUGUUUUUUGUUGAACUUGAGUUUGUGGUCCUUUUGAACUUGAGUGGGUGGUGUUUUUGAACUUGAGUUUCGUGUUUAAACUUGAGUUUGUGGUUUUUGUUGAACUUGAGUUUGUGUUGUUUUUGAACUUGAGUUUGUGGUGUUUUUGAACUUGAGUUCGUUUUGUUUUUAAACUUGAGGACCUGGAAUUUAGUUAAACUUGAGAAUUGGGUAUUGUUUGAACUUGAGUUUAUGUCGUGUUUGCACUUGAGUUUUUAGUGUUUUUGAACUUGAUUUUGUGUUUUUCUUGAACUUGAGUUUGUGGUGUUUUUGAACUUGAGUUGGUGGUGUUUUUGAACCUGAGUUUCGUGUUUGAACUUGAGUUUGUGGUUUUUGUUGAACUUGAGUUUGUGUCGUGUUUGAACUUGAGUUUGUGGUGUUUUUGAACUUGAGUUUGUGGUAAUUUUGAAGUUGAGGGUGUGGAAUUAGUUAAACUUGAGUUUGUGUCUUGUUUGAACUCUAGUUUGUGUCGUGUUUGAACUUGAGUUUGUGUGAUUGUUGAACUUGAGGUUGUGGCAAUUGUUUAACAUGAGAUUUGGGUGUUGGUUGAACUUGAGUUUUUGUAGUUUUUGAACUUGACUUUUUGUGUUUGUUGAACUUUAGUUUGUGGUAUUUUAGAACUUGAGUUGGUGGUGUUUUUGAACUUGAGUUUUGUGUUUGAACUUGAGUUUGUGGUUUUUGUUGAACUUGAGUUUGUGUGAUUGUUGAACUUGAGGUUGUGGCAAUUGUUAAACUUGAGAUUUUGGUGUUGGAUAAACUUGAGUUUGUGUCAUGUUUGCACUUGAGUUUGGGGUGUUUUUGAACUUGAUUAUGUGUUUUUGUUGAACUUGAGUUUCUGUGUUUUCUGAACUUGAGUUUCUGUGUUAUUUGAACUCUAGUUUGUGUUCUGUUUGAACUUGAGUUUGUGGUGUUUGUUGAACUUGAGUUUGUGUUGUGUUUGCAUAUGAGUUUGUGGUGUUUUUGAAUUUGAUUUUGUGUGUUUGUUGAACUUGAGUUUGUGGUCCUUUUGAACUUGAAUGGGUGGUGUUUUUGAACUUUAGUUUCGUGUUUAAACUUGAGUUUGUGGUUUUUGUUGAACUUGAGAUUGUGUCGUGUUUGAACUUGAGUUUGUGGUGUUUUUGAACUUGAGUUUGUGUUUUUUUUUAAGUUGAGGGUGUGGAAUUUGUUGAACUUGAGGUUGUGGCAAUUGUUAAACUUGAGUUUGUGUUUUAGUUGAACUUGAUUUUGUGUCGUGUUUGAACUUGAGUUUUUCUGUUGAACUUAAGUUUGUGGUGUAUUUAAACUUGAUUUUGUUUUUUGUUGAACUUGAGUUUGUGGUCCUUUUGAACUUGAGUGGGUGGUGUUUUUGAACUUGAGUUUCGUGUUUAAACUUGAGUUUGUGGUUUUUGUUGAACUUGAGUUUGUGUUGUUUUUGAACUUGAGUUUGUGGUGUUUUUGAACUUGAGUUCGUUUUGUUUUUAAACUUGAGGACCUGGAAUUUAGUUAAACUUGAGAAUUGGGUAUUGUUUGAACUUGAGUUUGUGGCGUUUGUUGAACUUGAGUUUGUCUUGUGUUUGAACUUGAGUUUGUGGUGUGUUUGAACUUGAGUUGGUGUGUUAUGUUGAACUUGAGUUUGUGGUCCUUUUGAACUUGAGUGGGUGGUGUUUUUGAACUUGAGUUUUUGUCGUUUUUGAACUUGUGUUUCUGUGUGUUUUGAGCUUGAGUUUUCUUUUGUUUUUGAACUUUUGAACUUUGAACUCAGGUGUUGGUUGAAUUUGAGUUUGUUUGUUUGUUGAAAUUGAGUUUGUGUCGUGUUUCAACUUGAGUUUGUCGUGUUUUUGAACUUGAGUUUGUGUGUUUGUUGAACUUGAGUUUGUGUUGUGUUUGAACAUGAGUUUGUGGUGUUUUUGAACUUGAGAUUGUUUCGUGUUUGAACUUGAGUUUGUGGCGUUUGUUGAACUUGAGUAUGUGUCGUGUUUGAACUGGACUUUGUCUUGUUUUUGAACUGGACUUUGUCUUGUUUUUGAACAUGAGUUUGUGGUGUCUUUGAACUUGAGUGUUUGGAAUUUUUUAAACUUGAGAAUUGGGUAGUGGUUGAACUUGAGUUUGUGUGUUUGUUGAAUUUUAUUUUGUGUAUUUUUUACUUGACAAUGUUUCAUGUUUGAACUUUAGUUUGUGGCAUUUUUUGAACUUGACUGUGUGUUUGUUGAACUUGAGGUUUUGACAAUUGUUAAACUUGAGAUUUGGCUGUUGGUUGAACUAUAGUUUGUGUCGUGUUUGAAUUUGAGUUUGUGGUGUGUUUGAACUUGAUGGUGUGGAAUUUGUUAAACUUGAGAAUUGAGUAUUGGUUGAACUUGAGUUUGUGUGUUUGUUGAACUUGAGUUUGUGUCAUUUUUGAACUUGAGUUUGUUGUGUGUUUGAACUUAAGUUUGUGUGUUUGUUGAACUUGAGGUUGUAGCAAUUGUUAAACUUGAGAUUUGGGUGUUGGUUGAACUUGAGUUUGUGUCAUGUUUGAACUUGAGAUUGUGGUGUUUUUAUAUUUGAGUCUGUGUUUUUUUUUAACUUAAGUUUGUGGAAAUUUUUAAAAUUUGGAAUUGGGUAUUGGUUGAACUUGAGUUCUUGACGUUUGUUGAACUUGAGUUUGUGUCGUGUAUUUAACUUGAGUUUGUAUUAUUUUUGAAGUUGAGUUUGUGUGUUUGUUGAACUUGAGUAAGUGUUGUGUUUGAAAAUGAGUUUUUGGUGUUUUUGAACUUGAGUUUGUUUCAUGUUUGAACUUGAGUUUGUGGCGUUUUUGAACUUGAGGGUGUGAAAUUUUUUGAACUUGAGGUUUUGGCAAUUGUUAAUUUUGAGUUUGUGUGUUUGUUGAACUUGAGUUGGUGUCAUGUUCAAACUUGAGUUUGUGUGUUUGUUGAACUUGAGUUUGUGUUGUGUUUGAACUUGAGUUUGUGGUUUUUUUUUUAACUUGAGUUUUUUUCAUGUUUGUAUUUGAGUUUUGGGCAUUUGUUGAACUUGAGUUUGUGUCGUGUUUGAACUUGAGUUUGUGGUGUUUUUGAACUUGAGGGUGUGAAAUUGUUUCACCUUGAGGUUGUGGCAAUUGUUAAACUUGAGUUUGUGUGUUUGUUGAACUUGAGUUUGUGAUGUGUUUGAACUUGACUUUGUGUGUUUGUUGAACUUGAGUUUGUGUCGUGUUUGAACUUGAGUUUGUGGUGUUUUUGAACUUGAGGGUGUGGAAUUGUUUGGACUUGAGGUUGUGGCAAUUGUUAAACUUGAGUUUGUGUGUUUGUUGAACUUGAGUUUGUGUCGUGUUUGAACUUAAGUUUGUGUAUAAGUUGAACUUGAGGUUGUGGCAAUUGUAAAACUUGAGAUUUGGGUGUUGGUUGAACUUGAGUUUGUGUCAUGUUUGAACUUGAGAUUGUGGUGUUUUUAUAUUUGAGUCUGUGUUUUUUUUUUAACUUGAGGUUGUGGAAAUUUUUAAAAUUGGGAAUUGGGUAUUGGUUGAACUUGAGUUCUUGACGUUUGUUGAACUUUAGUUUGUGUCGUGUUUUUAACUUGAGUUUGUAUUAUUUUUGAAGCUGAGUUUGUGUGUUUGUUGAACUUGAGGUUGUGGCAAUUUUUAAACUUGAGAUUUGUGUGUUUGUUGAACUUGAGUUUGUUUCAUGUUUGAACUUGAGUUUGUGGCGUUUGUUGAACUUUAGUUUGUUUCGUGUUUGAACUUGAGUUUCUGGUGUUUUUGAACCUGAGUUUGUGGUGUUUUUGAACUUGAGGGUGUGAAAUUGUUUGAACUUGAGGUUUUGGCAAUUGUUAAUUUUGAGUCUGUGUGUUUGUUGAACUUGAGUUAAUGUCAUGUUUGAACUUGAGUUUGUGUGUUUGUUGAACUUGAGUUUGUGUUGUGUUUGAACUUGAGUUUGUGGUGUUUUUUUAACUUGAGUUUGUUUCGUGUUUGAAUUUGAGUUUUGGGCAUUUGUUGAACUUCAGUUUGUGUCGAGUUUGAACUUGAGUUUGUGGUGUUUUUGAACUUGAGGGUGUGGAAUUGUUUGAACUUGAGGUUGUGGCAAUUGUUAAAAUUGAGUUUGUGAUGUGUUUGAACUUGACUUUGUGUGUUUGUUGAACUUGAGUUUAUGUUGUUUGAACUUGACUUUGUGGAGUUUUUGAACUUGAUUUUGUUUCGUGUUUAAACUUGUGUUUGUUUUUUUUAACUUUAGACUGUGUUGUUUUUGAACUUCAGGUUGUGAAAAUUGUUAAACUUGAAAUUGGGUGUUGGUUGAACUUGAGUUUUUGUUGUUUUUGAACUUGAGUUCGUGUUGUUUGUUUAACUUGAGUUUGUGUGUUUUUUGAACUUGAGGCUGGGAAAUUGUUAAGCUUGAGAACUGGGUUUUGGUUGAACUUGAGUUUGUAGUGUUUUUGAACUUGAGUUUUUUUCAUGUUUGAAUUUGAGUUUGUGGCAUUUGUUGAACUUGAGUUUUUGUGUUAGUUGAACUUGAGGUUGUGGCAAUUGUUAAACCUGAGAUUUGGGUGUUGGUUGAACUUGAGUUUGUGUCGUUUCAGAACUUGCAUUCCUGUUAUUUGUUUAACUUGAAUUUGUGUGUUUUUUGAACUUGAGGUUCUGAAAAUUUUUAAACGUGAGAAUCAUGUGUUGGUUGAACUUGAGUUUGUGGUUUUUGUUGAACUUGAGGUUGUGUCGUGUUUGAACUUGAGUUUUUGGUUUUUUUGAACUUGAGUCUGUGUUGUUUUUGAACUUGAAGUUGUGGAAAUUGUUAAACUUGAGAAUUGGGUAUUGGUUGAACUUGAGUUUAUGGUUUUUUUGAACUUGAGUUUGUGUCGUGUUUUUAACUUGAGUUUGUGGUGUGUUUGAAUUUGAGUUUGUGUAUUUGUUGAACUUGAGGUUGUGGCAAUUGUUAAACUUGAGAUUUGGGUGUUGGUUGAACUUGAGUUUGUGUCGUUUCAGAACUUGAGUUUGUGUCGUUUCAGAACUUGCAUUCCUGUUAUUUGUUUAACUUGAAUUUGUGUGUUUUUUGAACUUGAGGUUCUGAAAAUUUUUAAACGUGAGAAUCAUGUGUUGGUUGAACUUGAGUUUGUGGUUUUUGUUGAACCUGAGGUUGUGUCGUGUUUGAACUUGAGUUUGUGGUUUUUUUUAACUUGAGUCUGUGUUGUUUUUGAACUUGAGGUUGUGGCAAUUGUUAAACUUGAGAUUUGGGUGUUGGUUAAACUUGAGAUUUGGGUGUUGGUUGAACUUGAGUUCGUGUUAUUUUUUUAACUUGAUUAUGUGUUUUUAUACUUGAGUUUGUGUCGUUUUUGAACUUGAGGUUGAGGUUUUUUUGAACUGUUUCUGUUGUUUUUGAACUUGAGGUUUUGGAAAUUGUUAAACUUGAGAAUCAGGUGUUGGUUGAACUUCAGUUAGUGUGUUUGUUGAACUUGAGUUUGUGUCGUGUUUGAACUUGAGUUCGUGUCGUGUUUGAACUUGAGUUUGUGGUGUUGUUGAACUUGGGUUUGUGGUGUUUUUGAACUUUAGGUUGUAGAAUUUGUUAAACUUGAGAUUUGGGUGUUGGUUGAACUUGAGUUUGUGUCGUGUUUGAACUUGCAUUUGUGUUGUUUGUUUAACUUGAGUUUGUGUGUUUUUUGAACUUGAGGCUGUGAAAAUUUUCAAACUUGAAUAUCAGGUGUUGGUUGAACUUGAGUUUUUUGUUUUGUUGAACUUUAGUUUGUGUCUUGUUUUAACUUAUGUUUGUGGGUUUUUUUAACUUGAGGUUGUGAAAAUUGUUAAAUUUAAGAAUUGGGUAUUUGUUGAACUUGAGUUUUUGGUGUUUUUUAAAUUGAGUUUGUUUCGUGUUUGAACUUGAGUUUGUGGCAAUUUUUAAACUUAAUAUUGGAUAUUUAACCCUAACGCCAAAAACCUUAAACCUUACCAUAGCCCCAUAAACUAAUACCCAGGUAUUACCUUCAGGAAACCCGAACACACCAAAUAUUUUUUUUUCAUUUUUCAUUUUUUUUUUAUCUAAAUAACUCCAAAAGGUCUGAAACAUGUUCCUAAAAAGGUUUUGGACACUGAUUUUAACCCUUACGCCAAAAAACUUAAACCUUACCCUAGCCCCAUAACCUAAUAACCUAAUAAUACCUUCAGGAAGCCCAAACACCCCAAAUAUAUAUAUAUAUAUUUUUUUUCUCUUUUUUUGUCUAACUAACUCCAAAAGGUUGGAAAAGAGUUCCUACAAAGGUUUUGGACACUGAUUUUAACCCUGACGCCAAUAACCUUAAACCUUACCAUAGCCCCUUAAACGAAUACCCGGGUAUUACCUUCAGGAAGCCCGAACACCCCAAAUAUAUUUUUUUCAUUUUUCUUUUUUUUUGGUCUAACUAACUCCAAAAGGUUGGAAAAGAGUUCCUACAAAGGUUUUGGACAGUGAUUUUAACCCUAAUGCCAAAAACCUUAAACCUUACCAUAGCCCCAUAACCUUAUACCCGGGUAUUACCUUCAGGAAGCCCGAACACCCCAAAUAUUUUUUUUUCAUUGUAAGAUUUUUUUUAGUGUAACCAACUCCAAAAGGUCUGAAACAUGUUCCUAAAAAGGUUUCGGACAGUGAUUUUAACCCUCACGCCAAAAAACUUAAACCUUACCCAAGCCCCAUUACCUAAUACCUGGGUAUUACCUUCAGGAAGCCUAAACACCCCAAAUAUAUUUGUUUUAUUUUUCUUUUUUUUUUGGUCUAACUAACUCCAAAAGGUUGGAAAAGAGUUCCAACAAAGGUUUUGGACACUGAUUUUAACCUUAACGCCAAUAACCUUAAACCUUACCAUAGCCCCUUAACCAAAUACCCAGGUAUUACCUUUAGGAAGCCCAAACACCCCAAAUAUAUUUGUUUUAUUUUUCUUUUUUUUUUGGUCUAACUAAGUCCAAAAGGUUGGAAAAGAGUUCCAACAAAUGUUUUGGACACUGAUUUUAACCCUAACGCCAAUAACCUUAAACCUUACCAUAGCCCCUUAACCAAAUACCCAGGUAUUACCUUUAGGAAGCCCAAACACUCCAAAUAUUUUUUUUUAAUUUCACAUUUUUUUGGAGUAACCAACUCCAAAAGGUCUGAAACAUAUUCCUUAAAAGGUUUUGGACAGUGAUUUUAACCCUAACGCCAAAAACCUUUAACCUUACCAUUGCCCCAUUACCUAAUACCCAGGGAUUACUUUCAGGAAGCCCGAACACCCCAAAUAUUUUUUUUCAUUUUUCAUUUUUUUUUUGGUCUAACUAACUCCAAAAGCUUGGAAAAGAGUUCCUACAAAGGUUUUGGACAGGGAUUUUAACCCUAACGCCAAAAAACUUAAACCUUACCAUAGCCCCAUACCCUAAUACCCGGGUAUUACCUUCAGGAAGCCCGAACACCCCAAAUAUUCUUUUUCAUUUUUCUUUUUUUUUUUAGUCUAACUAAAACCAAAAGGUUGGAAAAGAGUUCCUACAUAGGUUUUGGACAGUGAUUUUAACCCUAACGCCAAAAACCUUAAACCUUACCAUAGCCCCAUAACCUAAUACCCAGGUAUUACCUUCAGGAAGCCCGAAAACCCCAAAUAUAUUUUUUUCAUUUUUCAUUUUUUUGGUCUAACUAACUCCAAAAGGUUGGAAAAGAGUUCCUACAAAGGUUUUGGACAGUGAUUUUAACCCUAAUGCCAAAAACCUUAAACCUUACCAUAGCCCCAUGACCUAAUACCCGGAUAUUACCUUCAGGAAGCCCGAAAACCCCAAACAUUUUUUUUUUCAGUUUUCAUUUUCUUUUUGUCUAACUAACUCCAAAAGGUUGGAAAAGAGUUCCUACAAAGGUUUUGGACAGUGAUUUUAACCCUAACGCCAAAAACCUUAAUCUUGCCAUAGCCCCAUAACCUUAUACCCGGGUAUUACCUUCAGGAAGCCCGAACACCCCAAAUAUUUUUUUUUCAUUGUAAGAUUUUUUUUAGUGUAACCAACUCCAAAAGGUCUGAAACAUGUUCCUAAAAAGGUUUCGGACAGUGAUUUUAACCCUCACGCCAAUAACCUUAAACCUUACCAUAGCCCCUUAAACGAAUACCCGGGUAUUACCUUCAGGAAGCCCAAACACCCCAAAUAUAUUUGUUUUAUUUUUCUUUUUUUUUUGGUCUAACUAAGUCCAAAAGGUUGGAAAAGAGUUCCAACAAAUGUUUUGGACACUGAUUUUAACCCUAACGCCAAUAACCUUAAACCUUACCAUAGCCCCUUAACCAAAUACCCAGGUAUUACCUUUAGGAAGCCCAAACACUCCAAAUAUUUUUUUUUAAUUUCACAUUUUUUUGGAGUAACCAACUCCAAAAGGUCUGAAACAUAUUCCUUAAAAGGUUUUGGACAGUGAUUUUAACCCUAACGCCAAAAACCUUAAACCUUACCAUAGCCCCAUUACCUAAUACCCAGGGUAUUACUUUCAGGAAGCCCGAACACCCCAAAUAUUUUUUUUCAUUUUUCAUUUUUUUUUUGGUCUAACUAACUCCAAAAGCUUGGAAAAGAGUUCCUACAAAGGUUUUGGACAGGGAUUUUAACCCUAACGCCAAAAAACUUAAACCUUACCAUAGCCCCAUACCCUAAUACCCGGGUAUUACCUUCAGGAAGCCCGAAAACCCCAAAUAUAUUUUUUUCAUUUUUCAUUUUUUUUGGUCUAACUAACUCCAAAAGGUUGGAAAAGAGUUCCUACAAAGGUUUUGGACAGUGAUUUUAACCCUAAUGCCAAAAACCUUAAACCUUACCAUAGCCCCAUAACCUUAUACCCGGGUAUUACCUUCAGGAAGCCCGAACACCCCAAAUAUUUUUUUUUCAUUGUAAGAUUUUUUUUAGUGUAACCAACUCCAAAAGGUCUGAAACAUGUUCCUAAAAAGGUUUCGGACAGUGAUUUUAACCCUCACGCCAAAAAACUUAAACCUUACCCAAGCCCCAUUACCUAAUACCUGGGUAUUACCUUCAGGAAGCCUAAACACCCCAAAUAUAUUUUUUUAUUUUUCUUUUUUUUUUGGUCUAACUAACUCCAAAAGGUUGGAAAAGAGUUCCAACAAAGGUUUUGGACACUGAUUUUAACCUUAACGCCAAUAACCUUAAACCUUACCAUAGCCCCUUAACCAAAUACCCAGGUAUUACCUUUAGGAAGCCCAAACACUCCGAAAAUUUUUUUUUAAUUUCACAUUUUUUUGGAGUAACCAACUCCAAAAGGUCUGAAACAUAUUCCUUAAAAGGUUUUGGACAGUGAUUUUAACCCUAACCCCAAAAACCUUAAACCUUACCAUUGCCCCAUUACCUAAUACCCAGGUAUUACUUUCAGGAAGCCCGAACACCUCAAAUAUUUUUUUUCAAUUUUCAUUUUUUUUUGGUCUAACUAACUCCAAAAGCUUGGAAAAGAGUUCCUACAAAGGUUUUGGACAGGGAUUUUAACCCUAACGCCAAAAACCUUAAUCUUGCCAUAGCCCCAUAACCUUAUACCCGGGUAUUAACUUCAGGAAGCCUGAACACCCCAAAUAUUUUUUUUUCAUCUUUCAUUUUUUUUUUUUGGUGAAACCAACUCCAAAAAGUCUGAAACAUGUUCCUAACAAGGUUUUGGACAGUAAUUUUAACCCCAACGCCAAAAAACUUAAACCUUACCCUAGCCCCAUACCCUAAUACCCGAGUAUUACCUUCAGGAAGCCUAAACACCCCAAAUAUAUUUGUUUUUUUUUUUCUUUUUUUUUUGGUCUAACUAACUCCAAAAGGUUGGAAAAGAGUUCCAACAAAGGUUUUGGACACUGAUUUUAACCCUAACGCCAAAAACCUUAAACCUUACCAUAGCCCCAUAACCUAAUACCCAGUUAUUACCUUCAGGAAGCCCGAAAACCCCUAAUAUUUUUUUUUUCAUUUUUCAUUUUUUUUGGUCUAACUAACUCCAAAAGGUUGGAAAAGAGUUCCUACAAAGGUUUUGGACAGUGAUUUUAACCCUAAUGCCAAAAACCUUAAACCUUACCAUAGCCCCAUAACCUAAUACCCGGGUAUUACCUUCAGGAAGCCCGAAAACCCCAAACAUUUUUUUUUCAGUUUUCAUUUUCUUUUUGUCUAACUAACUCCAAAAGGUUGGAAAAGAGUUCCUACAAAGGUUUUGGACAGUGAUUUUAACCCUAACGCCAAAAACCUUAAACCUUACCAUAGCCCCAUAACCUAAUACCCGGGUAUUACCUUCAGGAAGCCCGAACACCCCAAAUAUUUUUUUUUCAUUGUAAAAUUUUUUUUAGUGUAACCAACUCCAAAAGGUCGGAAAAGAGUUCCUACAAAGGUUUCGGACAGUGAUUUUAACCCUCACGCCAAUAACCUUAAACCUUACCCAAGCCCCAUAACCUAAUACCCGGGUAUUACCUUCAGGAAGCCCAAACACCCCAAAUAUAUUUUUUUUAUUUUUCAUUUUUUUUUUGGUCUAACUAACUCCAAAAGGUUGGAAAAGAGUUCCAAUAAAGGUUUUGGACACUGAUUUUAACCCUAACGCCAAUAACCUUAAACCUUACCAUAGCCCCAUAACCUAAUACCUAGGUAUUACCUUCAGGGAGCCCGAAAACCCAAAAUAUAUUUUUUUCAUUUUUCAUUUUUUUUGGUCAAACUAGCUCCAAAAGGUCUGAAACAUGUUCCUUAAAAAUAUUGGACAGUGAUUUUAACCCUAACGCCAAAAACAUUAAACCUAAUCCUAGCCCCAUAACCUAAUACUUAAACCUGAAGGGUAUUACCUUCAGGAAGCCCGAACACCCCAAAUAUUUUUUUUUUCAUUUUACAUUUUUUUUGGAUGUAACCAACUCCAAAAGGUCUGAAUCUUGUUCCUUUAAAGGUUUUGGACAGUAAUUUUAACCCUAACGCCAAAAACCUUAAACCUUACCCUAGCCCCAAAACCUAAUACCUUCAGGAAGCCCGAAAACCCCAAAUAUUUUUUUUUCUUUUUUCUUUUUUUUUUGGUCUAACUAACUCCAAAAGGUCUGAAACAUGUUCCUUAAAAAAUAUUGGACAGUGAUUUUAACCCUCACGCCAAAAACCUUAAACCUUUCCAAAGCCCCAUAACCUAAUACCCGGGUAUUACCUUCAAGAAGCCCAAAACCCCAAAUAUUUUUUUUUCAUUUUUCGUUUUUUUUUGGUCUAACUAACACCAAAAGGUUGGAAAAGAGGUCCUACAAAGGUUUUGGACAGUGAUUUUAACCCUAACGCCAAAAACCUUAAACCUUACCCUAGCCCCAUAACCUAAUACCCGGGUAUUACCUUCAGGAAGCUUGAACACCCCAAAUAUUUUUUUUUCAUUUUACAUUUUUUUUUGGUGUAACCAACUCCAAAAGGUCUUAAACAUGUUCCUAAAAAGGUUUUGGACACUGAUUUUAACUCUAACGCCAAAAACCUUAAACCUUACCCUAGCCCCAUAACCUAAUACCCGUGUAUUACCUUCAGGAAGCCCGAACACCCCAAAUAUUUUUUUUUCAUUUAUCUUUUUUUUUGUCUAACUAACUCCAAAAGGUUGGAAAAGACUUCCUACAAAGGUUUUGGACAGUGAUUUUAACCCUCAUGCCAAAAACCUUAAACCUUAACCUAGCCCCAUAACCUUAUACCCGGGUAUUACCUUCAGGAAGCCCGAACACCCCAAAUAUUUUUUUUUCUUUUUCUUUUUUUUUUUGGUCAAACUAGCUCCAAAAGGUCUGAAACAUGUUCCUUAAAAAAUUUUGGACAGUGAUUUUAACCCUUACGCCAAAAACCUUAAACCUAAUCCUAGCCCCAUAACCUAAUACUUAAACCUGAAGGGUAUUACCUUCAGGAAGCCCUAACACCCCAAAUAUUUUUUUUUUCAUUUUACAUUUUUUUUGGUGUAACCAACUCCAAAAGGUCUGAAUCUUGUUCCUUAAAAGGUUUUGGACAGUGAUUUUAACCCUAACGCCAAAAACCUUAAACCUUACCCUAGCCCCAAAACCUAUUACCUUCAGGAAGCCCGAACACCCCAAAUAUAUAUUUUUUCUUUUUCUUUUUUUUUUUGGUCAAACUAGCUCCAAAAGGUCUGAAACAUGUUCCUAAAAAGGUUUUGGACAGUGAUUUUAACCCUUACGCCAAAAACCUUAAACCUUACCCUAGCCCCAUAACCUAAUACCCGGGUAUUACCUUCAGGAAGCCCGAACACCCAAAAUAUAUUUUUUUUCAUUUUACAUUUUUUUUGGUGCAACCAACUCCAAAAGGUCUGAAUCUUGUUCCUUAAAAGGUUUUGGACAGUGAUUUUAACCCUAACGUCAAAAACCUUAAACCUUACCCUAGCCCCAAA